CUUCUUUUCUGUUGUUGUUUAUUGUUUACUGACUCAACUGACUGCCUGUGGUCAGGAGCUGACGUUGUUCAAGUAAGCCCUAGACUACUAAGAUAGAGAGUCUAAUAUAAAACAUUCCCCAUAUUUCUUGAGUAAGUUACUGUUACUGCCUUCUUUCCAGAGCGUUUAAGUGCCCACUGUUCACUCCACACCACAGAGCCAGCGUCAUCAGUACUGUUGCAAUGCUUGUUUAUGAGGGGCACUCUGUUGCUUUGCUCUGUCUUGAGCGCACCCAAAGACCAUGAUAUGAUGUGAGCUCUGGAUUGUACCAGUCACAGUUGGUGGCCCAACUUGUGUUAGCCAGCAUCAGAAAAGACCCCCCAAAAAAGAGAGAGUGAUAGAUCGCUUUGAGCUGAGAUGGAGAAUCCAACCUCCCCGGAGCUUUUAGUUGUGAGCAGUCCGCGUGUGCUGCCAACCAAGGCUGACUUGUCUUCUGAAGUGAAAGAUGGGAAUGUUACUGAUGGUUCUAUGUCUUUAAUGAAUAAAGCCCCUGUACUUAUUGUUCAGCACAUUGAGCAACCACCAGAAGAGAUGGGUAACAGUUCAGAGCUCAAGGUCCCCAAUGGAGCAGAUGGAGACUCGGCUGUGGCCAAAGCAGAGUCUGGCGGAGUGGAGGAGGAGACAAGCCCAGAGUCUGACGACUCCAAGAAAGAUGUGGACACCAGCAAGGCCGUCACUUUUGCAGAGGACGUGGAAAUCUACGACCUCACCUCGAAGGCAGCCAUGCCGAUCACCGUCAGCCUGGACACCCCGGUGCACCUUGUUGAUCACGCUGGUCUGGCUCUAAUUGCUGCUGAGGUGCCGCUGGAGGAGCUAAAGAAAGACACUGCCUCGGAGGACCUCACAGACAGCCUGACUGCUGCUGAACUGGAGACAGACUCCUCUGAAGCUGAGGGGAAGUCGUCUAUCGCUGAAAUCUCUGAUGAAAGGCAGUCAACCCCGGCCACACGACCUUCCGUUCUCAGCUUGUUCAAAAGCAGUAGUGUGGAUAAAACGUCUGAAGGUGGUGGGAGUUCUCUGAAAGCAAGUGAAAAUGAUGUGGCCACAGAGGAGAGCAAACAUACUUCAUCUACUACAAGUGGGAGUGAAGAUCAACAGGAAGAAGCAAAAGUGAAUGGUGAAGAGCCUACGGCCCACAAGGAGUUCACUGUGGUGAGCGUUGAUGAAUCUGAACUGCCAGCGUCAGAGCCACAGGAUAGGACGGUACGAGCAGAGGACACUGUGCCCCUGACUGAAGUGCAUCCACUCUCAGGCAAGACAAAUGGCCAGUCACACAGCACUGAUAGCUUCCUGCAUGACACUAUUGGGCCUUUGGACAAUCCAGCCUUCCUGAAAACAUUGCAUUACUCUGUAAGUCAGCCCUUUGAUGAGGAUGAGCAUUUUGGCCUGCAGUCCAACCUUGAUCUACACAGUGUCACCACGCUACAGAACACGACCUCUGACCUGGACGGAGGCUGGGCCUGGGUGGUGCUCUGUGCGGCCUUCCUGGCACAAACCAUUAUCGGUGGGAGUGUCUACGCUUCAGGUGUACUGAUAUCUGCCAUCGUUGAAGAGAUUGACCCAGACUUGACAAAAGCGUCUUGGGUUGGGUCGGUGUUUGUUUGUGCACAGUGUUUAACAGGUCCUUUCGUCGGGGCUGCUCUUAAAAAGUUUGGAGCCCGGAUCAUCGUGUCUCUGGCCGGUGUGGUCUUCACUCUUGGUUUUCUCGGUGCCUCCUUCUCCACUACGGUGGGACAGCUGAUUCUGACUCACGGACUUAUAGCAGGUGUGGGUGCUGGAUUCAUCCUCAACCCUGUCUUUGUCAUCGUGGGCCAGUACUUUUGUCGGUACAGAGGCCUUGCCUGCGGCUUGCUGGCCACUGGGGCUGGUGCGGGAAUGUUAACAGGUGGAGCCAUUGUGUCCCUACUUGUGAGGACCUAUGGCUUAAGUGGUGCAUACAUGUUGUGGUCGGGAGUUGUGUUCCAUUUGACCGCCAUCGGAAUGCUCUUCCGACCCUCCCCAGAGGAACGGUUCCGACAGAUUGAACAUGAAAUCCGAGUGAAAAGCUCUCUGAACAGGCAAGGCAGUCAGCAGGAGCUGACCAGUGGUCACAACAGCAUGAUGAGCGGCCUGAACAGCUUGUUUGGCAGUGUCAACCACAGCAUGAUGAGUGGGAUGGACAAGAUCAGCCAUGGGAGGCGCUCGGUGGUCUCUCGCAACACGAGCAAGCUCAGCAACGGGGAGAUCGAUAUGCCGCUGUUGAAGGCAGUGCUCCACAAGGAGAUGUCUCGGUCCAGCUACUCCGUCUCCACCAACAGGUCUCACCAUCGCUCUCACGUGACCAGCCCCACGCAGACAACUUCCACUUCCAGCAAGCAUCAGCAGCUAGCUCCUGGUACUGUUGGUCAUGGGGAGUCGAACCAGCUACUCUCUGUGAACACUGAAAUGAAUGGCACCCCUACACCGACAAGCCCGAUGAAUGCAAUCUCCAAUGGUCACCUGCACACGGCUACAUCCAUUAAUAGCUCACAUGCUUUGGGCAGCAGCAAUCACCAUCUCAGCAACAACGUCAACAGCAACGGUAGCGUUCAGCACCUGAACAACAACAUAAACAGCAACAGUAGCAGCCAGCUGCCGUUACACCACUCCAGCUCCCAGUUCUUCUCCACUAGCACCCUGACCCCAUCGGUGACCGCCUCCUCCCGCCUCCCCCCACCCUCCCCCACCAGCACCCACGGAGCCUCCACUUCAUUACUAAAUAAACCUCCACCCCAUCGCGGUCGCCUGCUCUCCGCGGGAUCCCAGUCUCAGUACACUUCCAUGAGCCAUAUCAGCCGCCGUCUUUCGCUCCGAGACCAUUCCCAUACUGGCGAGUACGACAACGAAUCACUGUCCUCCACCCUCAUCUCGCAGCUCCGCCCCCGAGAUGCUAUUGCCCCGCGAUAUGCGCUUGGCUCUCGCAGUAUAUCCACCAUGAUGGGCAGUGUGGCCAGUUUCCCCACCUCCUUGGCUAUCAUCAAGGAUGAUCUCUCGAGAUUCGAGGCUUACAGCUCGACUACUAGUCACAGAAGAUCUCUAACAGGUUUUGCAAUACAAGUCCUGGAUUCACUGCGGUUGCUACGCAACAGGCCUUUUCUUAUAUUCCUGUUGUCAAACUUCAUGUGGGCAUUUGGUGAAUCUCCUAUUAUGAUUUAUCUCCCAUCAUAUGCCGUGAGCAAGGGCACAGACAAAAUGCAAGCGUCUUUCCUUUACACCUCCAUGGGAAUUGGAUCUAUGAUAGGUCGACUUCUCUCUGGUCUGGUAGCCGGUGAUAAAGAUGUUGGGCCUGUUUUACUUUUCACAGGUAGCUUAGGCGUGGCCGGUAUGUUUGUGGCCCUCAGUCCAGCAAUCACCUCCACCAUGAUGGAGCAGGUGGUGGUCUCCUGUCUGCUGGGCCUCUACACCGGGGCCCUGGUGCCUCUCACCUCCCUCAUCACUAUUGACCUGCUGGGCAUCGGGGAGCUGGGGAUUGGUUUCGGCUUCCUGCUCAUGUCCCAGGGCCUUGGCUAUCUGAUUGGGCCCCCCUUGGCUGGCAUGAUUGUCAAGGAACUUGGCUUUGCAAGAUCUUUCCUAUUUGCUGGUUUCCUCUUGAUGGGGGCCAGUCUAUUUUCCAUGAUCAUGGCCCUGUUUCUUGGUAAGCAAGAGGAUGAACUGGACGAUGAUGAUCACUCACUCGAUGACUUGGAGCGGGCCCUACAGAGAAUCUCAGACAGUGAAAGUGACAAUUCCGAUGAAGAAAAUGAUGACAAAGGCGGUUGUGGUGAGGAACGAGACGAUCUCGGGAAAGGCAGUGCCAGUAACAUUAGCAGGCUGGAAGGAAGCACCCAUGGUGUUGCGGAUUUCAUCGUGUCUCAUUCUGAAGGAGGAGGUGCUGAGAAAGAAGAGGAGCCUGUGCCAGUUGAGGAAGAGAGACUGGAGCCUAUCAUGGAAGUAGGAUAAAAGUCAACUACAGAAUGUACAGCCACUGAUUGGUGCAUAUUUGAUAGAGAUAGCUGACAUACAUAUUGAACAGCCAGUCCAAAACCAUGUUGAGCAAAUUCAAGACAAGAUGUGCUUGGAUACUGAGCUAGUCUAUUUACAACAAAAUCUGCUUUCUUUUGAUUGUCACAAAUAUUGGAGUUUGGCCUAAUCAAAAAGUAGUUGGUCCAAGCAAUAUGUUACUAUUGUUUGUGGAUCAUUCUCACAUUUGGGCUUUCCCCGUUCCAUUCAGUGUCAGUGACAUCUGUGGUGUAAUGAUUAGGCUCUUUGCUAUUUGCACGCUAAAAAAUCGCAAGUUUGCUUCUCGUUCGGGAAAGUUAUUGAACUGGGUGUUUCUGUCAGCCUCGUGGGAUGCUAUAUUCCACUUUGUGGAGAUUUGCUAUGUCUAUGACAGGGAGUUAGGAAGCAACCUACCACCUUAAUUAUCUGAUUUGUGUCUUCAGGGGAGCAGAACAUUUGAAAUCAUUCCUGUUGUGUGUGAUGUGCGUUCAAACGUCUCUCUCUCUACUAUAUGUCACCACCCUUGCUGUUGUUCCAUUUUUGUGAGAGCACCAGGUUUACUGGUUAUAGAGCUAGUCUUCUCUCAGUUGCUGGGUAGUUCAACGGCUGAGACAAUAUUCACAAUGUCUUGGGGGGGGGUUUUCAGGGAGGGUGAGAAUCAAAGAAACCGUUUUAAACAGUCAAAUUUUGUCUUCAGUGUUAUCACAUCUGUUUUCCUAGUUAUCUGAAAAGCGUGAUGUGAUAAAGAUUGUUUGUAACCUGGUUUUUAAUCCGUCAGUGUUUUGUGUUUUGAGAAUUCUUAGUUAAUAAGGUCCAAAGAAUGACAUUGUUAGCAUGCCAAUUUAGGCAAUGUGUUGAUGCAUUGUUUUUUGUUUGUUACAGCAUUUGUUAUAAAAUGCACUCUCUAUUUUUACUUUUAUUAGUUACAAUUGUUACCAAGCUUAUUUGCUUGCUGUGUAGACAUAAAGUGGUUAUUUCCACUGUUUGUUUUUAAAAAAAAUGAAACUAAGAAUAUAAUAUGCACCAGAUAUCAUGUACAAGCCGACAGAUUGUUUUAAAUCUGCCAGCUCCCUUUUUACUGACUUUCAAAUAGUCAGUGACUGCAGUUACAAAGUAAUUGUAGACCACAAACAACAGCUUUUCUGCUAUUAUUUUUAACCCUUUCAGUGCCAGUCUCCUAAAUUUUCGCAAACAAGGAAGAGUCAAGCUGCAAAUGGGUGAAAUAAUAAUUUUACACCACUGUACAAAAAGGCUUGUUAAAAACAUUUAUUUCGGCAUAGAACUGUUUCCUAUUUGGAAAUGUAAUUGAAAAUUAUCUAUUAUCCAAACAUUGUUAAAUGAAACCCAACUUGAUUUUUUGAUGAUUGUCUAAGUUGGCACUGAACCCCUAAUUUGACAAUUAUCAAAAACAGGACUGAAAGGGUUAAAUUUCCAAAAUAGAAGUCUUAUUUCUGACUAAAUAUUCAAAA
rnacentral:misc_RNA from 1 species